rnacentral:rRNA from 1 species
UACGUAGAUCCCGAGCGUUGUCCGGAUUUAUUGGGCGUAAAGCGAGCGCAGGUGGUUUAUUAAGUCUGGUGUAAAAGGCAGUGGCUCAACCAUUGUAUGCAUUGGAAACUGGUAGACUUGAGUCAGGAGAGGAGAGUGGAAUUCCAUGUGUAGCGGUGAAAUGCGUAGAUAUAUGGAGGAACACCGGUGGCGAAAGCGGCUCUCUGGCCUGUAACUGACACUGAGGCUCGAAAGCGUGGGGAGCAGACAGG